rnacentral:SRP_RNA from 1 species
AGAGCGGUCCUAGUCAAUAUAAACCCACGAAUCAUGUCAGGUCCGGAAGGAAGCAGCAUUAAGUGGUCAUUUGUAUGUGGCUAGGGCAGCCGUUCUUGA